CCAAUUCCCUCACCAUAUUCGGCCUAGACAUCCAGCAACAAGAAAAAAGGAAGAACAAAAGGAAAAACAAGAAAACCUAGGUGGAAAUUCAAAGAAAAAGUGAAGAAAUCAAGGAAACAAGCUAGGUAAGUUAAAAUUUCUUUAAUUCUCCUUGAUACCUAGCUUACCCAUGCUUUUGUUCUUGAUUUCCAUGGUUGAAUAUUGAGUUAUCAUGAUGAAUUCAAUUCUGAAAAAUGGGUAUGGAAGAGGAAUUGUUGUUGGAAUAAUUUGAUUUUAGACUAUGUUAGUGUUUAGGGAUAGUUAAGCAUGGUUAUGAACAAAAACACAAAAGAAAUAUUCAAUUUCUCUAGGGUUCCUUGUUGGCCGAACCAUGAGGGCUGAAUAUCAAUGGGGGAUUGUUUUUAUUUCAAGGAAAAUGGCAUGGAAAAUGAUGAAGUAAGGUGAAACGGUUAUGUAGAAAAAAAUUCGAUGCUAGUACACCAAAUGACCAAAUUUUUUCUAUAAGGAAUUGUGAGGGUUCUAAUGCUGAAUUUGGCUUUAUUUAAAUGUAUGUGGUAAAUUAAGGUAUUAGAGGAGAAAUGAAUUAAUUUGGAGGUGAUUUGGACACAAUCGUCGAUUAAUCGGGUGAUCGGUCGAAUUUAAUCGAUACCGUGAUUAAGCGGUAAUCGGACAUAUUUUUGCAUUUACAUAUCAAGCAUUAGUAGUUUAAAUUAAUUUAUAUCAAUUUAGGGACAAUAUAGUAAAUUCCUCGACUUUGUUAUUUGUCAAGGUGGUGAGACGUCCGGAAAAGGCAAAGGAAUUACGCGUGAGGACUAUUAGUCAGAGUUCACCCGGAAUCCGAAUUUUCGACACCUGUGAGUGGACUGCCUAUCAAAAUUGUUUUGGGAAUAUGACUGUUUUGAACAAAGUGUUUGAAUGAUUUUAUGAAAUUUUUCAUGAAAAUGAAUGCCUUGGGAACAAGCUUUUGAGAAAAGGUUUAUGUUAUGAAAUGUGGUUAUUAUGGAUUUCUAUGUGGCUGCAUUAUGUUGAUAUACAUAUAUGCUUGAAUAUAAUGUUGUGUAAUUAUGUUGACUCGGCUAUGUGCGAGUAGGGAGUGUGCAUAAGCCGAGGAUGACCCGGUUAUGUGCGAGUAGGGAGUGCGCAUAAUCCGGUGAUGACCCAGCCAUGUGCGAGUAGGGAGUGCGCAUGAGCUGGUGAUGAUGAUGAUGAGCUGGUGAUGAUGAUGAUGGGUUGGUGAGAUGAUGAUGAUGGGUAUAUACGUAUAUAUAUAUAUAUAUACAUAUGUAAAUGUGUGUGAUAUAGCAAAUUGAUGGACAAUGAUUUAUGGUUGUAAUGUACGUAAAAUUUGACACAUUAUACUUUGAGAAUUUUCAUGAAUGUUAGGUUGAUUUUAUUAGUUUAGCAGGAUGGCUUUUGUUGAGUGAGGAAAAAUGUUUCUCUUGUUGCUUUGUUUUCACUGCAUCGAAAUUCAUGCUCGCUGUAGCGAAAAACUCUGGGGUUUGGAGGGGUUUUAAAUAGGAAUGAACUAAAUUGCAUUGUUUGAAACAAGUGCAUCAUGAUUUUAAAUUUUUCCUAAUUGUUGCUUGUUCCCUUCCUUGUUCACUCACUGGGUUUAUACUCACCAUUUUCAAAUUCAUGUUUUCAGAUCACGAGGUAGCCGAUAAUUAGGACGAGGUGUCCUUGUAGAUCUGUGUACAUCUUCUGGUAGGUGUCUCGGCAUUCGGUAGCUGUAUAUCCAUCCGAGUCACUCCGCUGGAGGUCGAGUAUUAUUUUGUUAUGUAUAGAUGAACUUAAAUGUAAAUUUUAAAAGAGUAAUGCCAGUACGAGUUGGCAAUGUAUAUCACUAUUUUGACUCAAAGUCAUGAAAUAGGACUUAGUGAUAAUAAAUAGAAUCAUAAGUAAGAUAAAUAAUAGGCUUGCUUGGGUUUAGUGGAUUACGUCCAUUGGACCCAUGCGCCGGUCAUGACCCGAAAUUUGGGUCGUGACACA
rnacentral:lncRNA from 1 species